rnacentral:lncRNA from 1 species
GCGGAGACUGGGAGCGAAAAAUCCGGGAUCCGGCAACUUUAGGCAGCGCAUGCGCGCCCACGGCGCUCCAUCCCAAACACACACACAUUUUUCCCCCGGACUUGGAAAGUCACCCAAAGCCGCCCCAAGUGCAGGCACACAGACCUCACUGACUGAAGGCAAAGACACUUCCAUCCCACCUGCCCUUCCAGCUGCCCCGGCCACGGAUCCCUCCUUCACAAGGGAGUCUUGCAGCUCCCCAGUGCCACACAUUGGAAUGGACUUCGGACCCUGGCCUCUUGGGAUGCAAAGGAUGAAGUGACGCCCCAGCUACAUUCGAGGCACCUCUAGGACCCGCUACAAGUUUCGACCGGCUCCGGGUUUUGUCCUGCCGGCCCCUUCCCCCCCAGGAGGACGGGAGAAGGGAGGAGAGUCCCCCGGCUCCCACCGCGGCAUCCCUUUUGGACUUCAAAGGCUCCCCCAGCAUUGUCUGCGCCGGCGGGCAGUGGCCCUGAAAACGUGAUCAGAGGCGGCCGGGUGUAGGGCAGGCCCGGCCCGCGCCCUGCGCUCUCGCUGGGGCCCGUGGAUUCCUCCCUUUGCCGCCAGCACCACCCUGGUUACAGCACCACUCUGGGUCCCUUCUUGCCUUUCUCUCCCCUCGCCCUUUCCUACUCCCUCUGGCUGCUCCUUCCUGCCCUCAGCCUCAGCUUCACUCCUCUCUCAGGGCUUUGAGAAUCUGGAAUUCCAAGAGUCUCUCCAGCCCUUCUGAUGCCCUUCUGAUCCCCUUCCCAUCUUUACUCAGAAUUUCAGGCCUUGAGCAGGGCUUCCCAGAGUGCCAGGAGCUAGAAAUCUGCUUGCCAUGCAAGGCUUGUCUCACCUCCCUCUUCCCCCACCCUCUACUCAGCAUGGAAGCCUCACUUCCGCUCUAGACUUCUGCCCAGGAGGGUCCAGGUUGGACACCUUCAAUCCCCAAGAGCAGGAUGGAGCAAGCAUCAUCUGAGUCCUCAAACUCAGCCCUGGGUGCUUUCAUUUUCUGGAGCAGGGCACAGGAUGUCCCCUGGGUCACAUUUAGCCCACAGCCUGGCUGUAUAAAUAAAGUUUUAUUGGAAACAGCCAUGCCCAUUU